rnacentral:misc_RNA from 1 species
AACUUUCGGCAACGGAUCACUUGGCUCUUGCAUCGAUGAAGAACGCAGUAAUGUGCGAAAAGUAAUGCAAAUUGCAUACCUCUGCGAGUCAUCUAGUCUUUGAACGCAAAUGGCACUGUCACGACGAGUGAUAGUAUGUCUGUUUGAGAACCACAAAACACCUCACCACAAUAUAUGUGAGUGGAACAUGUCCUCUUGCACACUUUUGUGUAAUUGGAUUGAACAUAGGAUGCUGCGUGGAUCACACGCGGAAUAUGUGAUAGUCAUUUUCAUAUUCCGAGUGAUCUGAUAACGUGCACUUUUAGCGAAUGGUUUGUGGUGGUAUAGUAUAUUACAAUACAAUACCAUCAUAUAUCAUUAGCAACUUUUAAUCGUUGGUCUAAAAUUAGACAAGGUUACCCGCUGAACUUAAGCAUAUCAAUAAGCGGAGGCU